rnacentral:rRNA from 1 species
UGGGUAACCUGCCUCAAAGAGGGGGAUAGCCUCCCGAAAGGGAGAUUAAUACCGCAUAAUAUGUUUAAGUCGCAUGACUUUAACAUCAAAGGAUUUUCUUUUAGAAAUUCCACUUUGAGAUGGACCCGCGGCGCAUUAGCUAGUGGUGAGGUAACGGCUCACCAAGGCAACGAUGCGUAGCCGACCUGAGAGGGUGAUCGGCCACAUUGGAACUGAGACACGGUCAGACUCCGUAGGGAGG